CGACUUUCCUAGACGAGUCUAAGGUUGAUCAGGGACCAUUGCCUAGGAUGAGGUGCACCUGCCAACAUCUCCCCAAGCAGGAGAGUGUACGGCAUAAUUUGUGUUAGUGGGGCCUGCGUUCGCCCAGCCCUCCU
rnacentral:snRNA from 11 species